CUACACAUGCAAGUCGAGCGGAUGACGGGAGCUUGCUCCUUGAUUCAGCGGCGGACGGGUGAGUAAUGCCUAGGAAUCUGCCUGGUAGUGGGGGACAACGUUUCGAAAGGAACGCUAAUACCGCAUACGUCCUACGGGAGAAAGCAGGGGACCUUCGGGCCUUGCGCUAUCAGAUGAGCCUAGGUCGGAUUAGCUAGUUGGUGAGGUAAUGGCUCACCAAGGCGACGAUCCGUAACUGGUCUGAGAGGAUGAUCAGUCACACUGGAACUGAGACACGGUCCAGACUCCUACGGGAGGCAGCAGUGGGGAAUAUUGGACAAUGGGCGAAAGCCUGAUCCAGCCAUGCCGCGUGUGUGAAGAAGGUCUUCGGAUUGUAAAGCACUUUAAGUUGGGAGGAAGGGCAGUAAGCUAAUACCUUGCUGUUUUGACGUUACCGACAGAAUAAGCACCGGCUAACUCUGUGCCAGCAGCCGCGGUAUACAGAGGGUGCAAGCGUUAAUCGGAAUUACUGGGCGUAAAGCGCGCGUAAG
rnacentral:rRNA from 1 species